UGAAUUGAGUCCUUUCUAUGGGAGCCCAGA
rnacentral:piRNA from 2 species